rnacentral:rRNA from 1 species
AGAAACCAACAGGGAUUGCCUUAGUAACGGCGAGUGAAGCGGCAACAGCUCAAAUUUGAAAGCUGGCUCCUUUGGAGUCCGCGUUGUAAUUUGUAGAGGAUGAUUCGGCAAGGGCUCCCGCCUAAGUCUCCUGGAACGGAGCGUCAUAGAGGGUGAGAAUCCCGUAUGCGGUGGGCUGCCUAAGCCAUGUGAAUCUCCUUCGACGAGUCGAGUUGUUUGGGAAUGCAGCUCUAAAUGGGAGGUAAAUUUCUUCUAAAGCUAAAUACCGGCCAGAGACCGAUAGCGCACAAGUAGAGUGAUCGAAAGAUGAAAAGCACUUUGGAAAGAGAGUUAAAAAGUACGUGAAAUUGUUGAAAGGGAAGCGCUUGCAGCCAGACUUGUCCGCAGUUGCUCAGCCGGUCUCCUGACCGGUGUACUCUUCUGCGGCCAGGCCAGCAUCAGUUCGGGCGGUCGGAUAAAGACCUCGGGAAUGUAGCUCCUCUCGGGGAGUGUUAUAGCCCGGGGUGGAAUGCGGCCAGCCUGGACUGAGGAUCUCGCUUCGGCUAGGAUGCUGGCGUAAUGGCUGUAAGCGGCCCGUCUUGAAACACGGACCAAGGAGUCUAACAUCUAUGCGAGUGUUUGGGUGUCAAACCCAUGCGCGUAAUGAAAGUGAACGGAGGUGGGAACCCUCACGGGUGCACCAUCGACCGAUCCUGAUGUCUUCGGAUGGAUUUGAGUAAGAGCAUAGCUGUUGGGACCCGAAAGAUGGUGAACUAUGCCUGAAUAGGGUGAAGCCAGAGGAAACUCUGGUGGAGGCUCGCAGCGGUUCUGACGUGCAAAUCGAUCGUCAAAUUUGGGUAUAGGGGCGAAAGACUAAUCGAACCAUCUAGUAGCUGGUUCCUGCCGAAG